GAACGCUGGCGGAAUGCUUUACACAUGCAAGUCGAACGGUAGAGGGGGCAACCCUUGAGAGUGGCGAACGGGUGAGUAAUAUAUCGGAACGUGCCCAGUCGUGGGGGAUAACGUAGCGAAAGUUACGCUAAUACCGCAUACGAUCUAAGGAUGAAAGCGGGGGAUCGCAAGACCUCGCGCGAUUGGAGCGGCCGAUAUCAGAUUAGGUAGUUGGUGAGGUAAAGGCUCACCAAGCCGACGAUCUGUAGCUGGUCUGAGAGGACGACCAGCCACACUGGGACUGAGACACGGCCCAGACUCCUACGGGAGGCAGCAGUGGGGAAUUUUGGACAAUGGGCGCAAGCCUGAUCCAGCAAUGCCGCGUGCAGGAUGAAGGCCUUCGGGUUGUAAAGCACUUUCAGCGAGGAGGAAGGGUUGUGUGUUAAUAGCACAUAGCCUUGACGUUACUCGCAGAAGAAGCACCGGCUAACUCUGUG
rnacentral:rRNA from 1 species